rnacentral:rRNA from 1 species
UGAGGAAUAUUGGUCAAUGGGCGAGAGCCUGAACCNGCCAAGUCGCGUGAGGGAAGACGGUCCUAUGGAUUGUAAACCUCUUUUGCCGGGGAGCAAAGAGCGGCACGUGUGCCGCGCCGAGAGUACCCGGAGAAAAAGCAUCGGCUAACUCCGUGCC